rnacentral:rRNA from 1 species
CAGCCGCCGCGGUAAUACGGAGGGUGCAAGCGUUAUCCGGAUUUACUGGGUUUAAAGGGUGCGUAGGUGGGUCUGUAAGUCAGUGGUGAAAUCUCCGAGCUUAACUCGGAAACUGCCAUUGAUACUAUAGGUCUUGAAUCAUCUGGAGGUGAGCGGAAUAUGUCAUGUAGCGGUGAAAUGCUUAGAUAUGACAUAGAACACCAAUUGCGAAGGCAGCUCACUACGGAUGUAUUGACACUGAGGCACGAAAGCGUGGGGAUCAAACAGGAUUAGAUACCCGCGUAGUCCCUGUCUCUUAUAC